rnacentral:siRNA from 1 species
GGAGCUGCCGGCUAAGGGUGAGUU